rnacentral:lncRNA from 1 species
GACUUAAAUGCAGCUUCUCCAACUAUCCGAUCUAGAGCAAAAUCUGUGAUCUUUGGUUCAUAAUCAGCAUCAAGAAGGAUAUUAGUCGAUUUCAAGUUUCGAUGAAGUAAAUGAGGAAGGUAAUCUUUAUGAACACACUUAACUCGAUCUAGUCGAUUUCAAGUUUCGAUGAAGUAAAUGAGGAAGGUAAUCUUUAUGAAGAUAUGCCAAUCCUUGAGCAACUCCAAUAGCAAUCUUCAACCUAACACUCCAUUGUAAUUGAAAUUCAGAUUUCCCAAUCAAAUCCCCUAAGCUUCCUCUUGCUAGAUAUU